rnacentral:rRNA from 1 species
GACGAACGCUGGCGGCGUGCUUAACACAUGCAAGUCGAACGGAAAGGCCCUGCUUUUGUGGGGUGCUCGAGUGGCGAACGGGUGAGUAACACGUGAGUAACCUGCCCUUGACUUUGGGAUAACUUCAGGAAACUGGGGCUAAUACCGGAUAGGAGCUCCUGCUGCAUGGUGGGGGUUGGAAAGUUUCGGCGGUUGGGGAUGGACUCGCGGCUUAUGAGCUUGUUGGUGGGGUAGUGGCUUACCAAGGCUUUGACGGGUAGCCGGCCUGAGAGGGUGACCGGCCACAUUGGGACUGAGAUACGGCCCAGACUCCUACGGGAGGCAGCAGUGGGGAAUAUUGCACAAUGGGCGGAAGCCUGAUGCAGGAACGCCGCGUGCGGGAUGACGGCCUUCGGGUUGUAAACCGCUUUCGCCUGUGACGAAGCGUGAGUGACGGUAAUGGGUAAAGAAGCACCGGCUAACUACGUG